GAUGAACGCUAGCGGGAGGCCUAACACAUGCAAGCCGAGCGGGAUUUGAGACUAGCUUGCUAGUCUUAAUGAGAGCGGCGUACGGGUGCGGAACACGUGUGCAACCUGCCUUUAUCUGGGAGAUAGCCUUUCGAAAGGAAGAUUAAUAUCCCAUAAUAUAAUGAUUGGCAUCAAUUAUUAUUGAAAGCUCCGGCGGAUAGAGAUGGGCACGCGCAAGAUUAGAUAGUUGGUGAGGUAACGGCUCACCAAGUCGAUGAUCUUUAGGGGGCCUGGGAGGGUGAUCCCCCACACUGGUACUGGGACACGGACCAGACUCCUACGGGCGGCAGCAGUGAGGAAGAUUGGACAAUGGGUGAAAGCCUGAUCCAGCCAGCCCGCGUGAAGGAUUAAGGCCCUAUGGUUUGUAAACUUCUUUUCUACAGGGAUAAACCUACUCUCGUGAGAGUAGCUGAAGGUACUGUAGGAAUAAGCACCGGCUAACUCCGUGCCAGCCGCCGCCGUAACAC
rnacentral:rRNA from 1 species